GAUCUGUCGGUUGGCUAGAGUUUAGCUGAUCCAGGUUGACUGAGCUGGAUUCAGAUAGGCUCUACAUGUCUGUCAUCCUCUUUGAACCAACAGCAUUUGAAACAUGAUCUUCUCCUAGAGAAAGAGAGGAGUACAAGGGGCCAAGCCAAUCCACAAGCUCUUAUAAAGCCUCUGCUUUCAUGUCAGUCACAGUUGCCAACAUGUCCACUACAGCCCCAAGGAAUGCUCUAAAAGCUCAAAACUACUCUUGAAAGCCUGUCUCAAAGGAAAUAGACCAGAAAGAUUAGGAAGAGGGAGGCCUGAGAAAGCAAGCAUCAUUUCGUAGGGUGGACAGCUGCCAGUUUCUGCCUUCCCAGCAUUCACACCUGACUUCCUUUAGUGACCUAAGGGGAUGGGCAGAAUGACCCAGCCAACUUGCUCUUCCAGGAAUUUGAAUCUCCAGGGAAAAACUUCAGGAUGGAAAACAGCUCCUGCUUCAUCCUGAGGUUCCCAAAACAGAAGUGAUCUCAUCUCCAAAUGCUGUUUAUGCUGUAUAUUCAGCUGUCACCACCCUGGAGUUAACCCUUCCUCAUCUAUCCUCCAGCCCCAGAGCUCUGGGAAUAUCUACAUCAAGAGGAGAGAGUACUAACACCCACUCCCCAACACUGCCAGGGCUCAGGGGAAGGGCCACUGGAUGUUUGUACGAGUCAGGUACAUGCUCCUUUAACCCAGCCCCAUGUCCCUGAAACAGGUGCCACCAGGGCAAGGCAGGCCGAGGGAGAAUGAAUGGAUGGCUCCCCACACCUCCACAACACCACUGGGCCCAAGUACACCAAAUACAAAUAAAAC